CAGCCGCCGCGGUAAGACAGAGGAUGCAAGCGUUAUCCGGAAUGAUUGGGCAUAAAGCGUCUGUAGGUGGCUUUUCAAGUCCGCCGUCAAAUCCCAGGGCUCAACCCUGGACAGGCGGUGGAAACUACCAAGCUGGAGGAAGGUAGGGUGGUCUGGAACUUCCGGUGGAGCGGUGAAAUGCGUUGAGAUCGGAAGGAACGCCCGUGGCGAAAGCGAGGCCCUGGACCUUUUCUGACGCUGAGACGCGAAAGCCAGGGGAGCGAACGGGAUUAGAUACCCCGGUAGUCCCUGUCUCUUAUAC
rnacentral:rRNA from 1 species